rnacentral:lncRNA from 1 species
CCCCCCCCCCCCCCCCCCCCCCCCCCCCCCCCCCCCCCCCCCCCCCCCCCCCCCCCCCCCCCCCCCCCCCCCCCCCCCCCCCCCCCCCCGGGGGAGGCGGGCGGGGAGGCCGCCAGGAAGCUCUCCUCGCAGCCGCCUGCGGAGAGAGCGGAGGAAGCCAGAGCGGCCGGGGCAGCGCGGAUUCGCCGUCGAGGGCUCCCUCAGCCCCGGCCGAGCAGCCGGCCCGGCUCCGGGGAGGGGGCGACCCGAGCGCCGGGACCGCGGCAGCGCGGCCGGUCCGCCAGGGACGAGCUGUCCCGGCGCCGAGCGGGGUGCGAGGCCGAAGGCGCGCUGCGUUCGGCCACGGGCUUCUGUCCCGCAGCGUGAAACUGCGCUCCCCUCCACACACAGCAAAUUACGCACAGACGAAUAUGAAGGCGUUGUGUGCGUAUAUACAUUUCUACGCACAUAUAAUCAUAUACAUAGUUGCACAUGCACUUUUACCAGCACACAUACAAACGCGUGCGGUAUAAAGCGCUUUUGCCGCUCCUCGGAAGCGGGGCUCGGGACAGCCCCCCGCCGUCUCUCCACCGCGCUGCGGCACCGACAGCCCCCCGGCAGCAGUCCUGCCCCGUCCGGCGGCAGAGGGGCGCCGCGGAUGCUCAGCGCCCGGCCAGCGGGAAGCGCGCCGUGAUUGAAUCUGAAGGAAAUCAGAUGUGCGAGAGUGAUCGAAACGUGCUAAGCUAGAGGAUCUUGCAGGAGUUUAAACGCCGUCGCUGUGGAGAUGAGAUCGAUAGAGGGGAGGAAGGAAGGAAAUGGAUGCUCUCUGUCCGAGGGCGCUCCCGCAGCCUCCUCGCCCUCCCGCCCAUCUCCGACGGUGCCUUCCGCCGCCCCGCUCCGUGCUCCCGCCGCCCGCGGCCGCCGGGUCGCACACGCCGCCGCCCCCGGUGCGGCGGCCCCGGCGAGGCCCCCCCCCCCCCCCCCCCCCCCCCCCCCCCCCCCCCCCCCCCCCCCCCCCCCCCCCCCCCCCCCCCCCCCCCCCCCCCCCCCCCCCCCCCC